UCAAGCACUUACAACAGAGCCUGUCACAAUCGGAGGGACCAACUAAACACAGGGUAAUUAAUUAGACCUGACUCCCGAGGCUUCAAAGCAGAGGAAGAAAACCUGAGACACUACAGUCGAUGACCUUUGGUAACUAAGAGCUCCUGCAAGCAUGCAAAUGAUUGUAGCAGUAACCCGGUCCUUGGGGGAAAAGGACACAGUGCAUCAAGAAUGCAUGACUGUGGUGAACGGAGAGGACCCCAAGGAAAAUAACAAGGCCCAAUCCAGUAUACUGGGAUGCUGCCCAAGAUCAUCAGAGAUGCCAUUCACAGGACACACAGACAACAUCACCAAGCUACAAGAAUUGAGUUCCUCUGAGGGAGCUACCAAAGAACAUCAUGGUUUCUCUUCAAGCAUGGUUACCCAACUGCGGGAAAAAAGGGGGACCCAGAAGUAAGGGCAGCUACAGAAAAGUAAGGAGAUAGAGAAAAGAAACUGUUAACUCUCAUCUCCUCCGCUGGACUGUUGGGAAAAGAAAUGUUUCCUCUUUGUGAGAUUAAAAUGUUAAAC
rnacentral:lncRNA from 1 species